rnacentral:lncRNA from 1 species
AUGAGAAUCUUUUUCUUCAUCACUCUGAGUCCUGACAUGGAAUUAAGCCAACUACAUUUAACUUCCAUUUCUCAGGCUUUUUUGUUAAGAGUUGUCUUGUCAGUGUCUAUGAUUAAAAGCAUCAGUACAUCAGUACUUUCAGCAGUCAUAUCAGAGUCUAAACCUCUGUACCUUUGGAGGAGAGUUGCUACAUAUACCAAGAGAAUGGGCAAUCAUACCACAGUGAGCACAUUCCUUCUGUGGGGAUUUUCCAGUUUCUCAGACCUGCAGGAUCUCCUCUUUGUGAUGGUUUUCUUAUCCCAUGUGACCAUCCUAGCUGCAAACACAUCCGUAAUGGUGGCCGUCAAGCUUAGUCACAACCUUCACACUCCCAUGUACUUUUUCCUCUGUGGCCUCUCCUUUUCAGAAACCUGUACCACACCUGUGGUAGUCAUCCCUCGCAUGUUGGUGGACUUGCUAUCAGACAGUAAGUCCAUUUCUAUUCCUGAGUGUGCCACACAGAUGUUUUUCUUCUUUGGCUUAGGAACCAACAACUGCUUCAUCUUGGCCGCCAUGUCCUAUGACCGUUACACGGCUAUUCACAACCCACUGCACUACUCCAGCCUCAUGACCCGUAAGAUCUGCUUUCAGCUGAUGAUGGCUUCUUGCAUGACUGGGGUUGUGGUGGCACUGUGCAUUGUCCUCAUAGUAUUCAACCUGUCUUUCUGUGACUCCAGCAUCAUCCAGCAUUUUUUUUGUGACAUUACACCUGUAGUCUCCCUUGCCUGUGAUUACACCAUUUUUCAGAAAAUGAUUCUUCUUGCCUUCACUGCGUUUGUGUUGGUGGGCAGCUUUAUUUUAAUUAUGAUUUCCUAUGUCUUCAUUGGGUCCAUAGUUAUGAAGAUGCCUUCAGCCAAGGGGCGGUAUAAGGCCUUCUCAACUUGCUCCUCCCACCUCACUGUGGUGUGCAUACACUAUGGAUUUGCUGGCUUUGUCUAUCUGAGGCCCAAGAGCAGUGACUCAUUCCGUGAAGAUAUGCUGAUGGCUGUGACAUAUACAGUGCUGACACCUCUGCUUAAUCCCAUUGUUUACAGUCUAAGAAACAAAGAAAUGCAAACAGCCCUAAAGAAAGUACGAGGCAAUAUAUGUAGGUUUUCCCCUUAG